UACGGGGGGGGCAAGCGUUGUUCGGAUUUACUGGGCGUAAAGGGCUCGUAGGCGGCCAACUAAGUCGGAUGUGAAAUCCCCAGGCUUAACCUGGGAACUGCAUCUGAUACUGGAUGGCUUGAAUCCGGGAGAGGGAUGCAGAAUUCCAGGUGUAGCGGUGAAAUGCGUAGAUAUCUGGAGGAAUACCGGUGGCGAAGGCGGCAUCCUGGACCGGCAUUGACGCUGAGGAGCGAAAGCUAGGGGAGCAAACGGG
rnacentral:rRNA from 1 species